rnacentral:rRNA from 1 species
ACAGCAGUCGCCGCGGUAAUACGUAGGUGGCAAGCGUUGUCCGGAAUUAUUGGGCGUAAAGGGCUCGCAGGCGGUUUCUUAAGUCUGAUGUGAAAGCCCCCGGCUCAACCGGGGAGGGUCAUUGGAAACUGGGAAACUUGAGUGCAGAAGAGGAGAGUGGAAUUCCACGUGUAGCGGUGAAAUGCGUAGAGAUGUGGAGGAACACCAGUGGCGAAGGCGACUCUCUGGUCUGUAACUGACGCUGAGGAGCGAAAGCGUGGGGAGCGAACAGGAUUAGAUACCCCAGUAGUCCCUGUCUCUUAUAA